rnacentral:rRNA from 1 species
CAGCCGCCGCGGUAAUACGGAGGGAGCUAGCGUUGUUCGGAAUUACUGGGCGUAAAGCGCACGUAGGCGGCGAUUUAAGUCAGAGGUGAAAGCCCGGGGCUCAACCCCGGAAUAGCCUUUGAGACUGGAUUGCUUGAAUCCGGGAGAGGUGAGUGGAAUUCCGAGUGUAGAGGUGAAAUUCGUAGAUAUUCGGAAGAACACCAGUGGCGAAGGCGGCUCACUGGACCGGCAUUGACGCUGAGGUGCGAAAGCGUGGGGAGCAAACAGGAUUAGAUACCCCCGUAGUCCCUGUCUCUUAUAC